UGUGCAGGUGCCCAUGGAGGCAUCAGAUCUCUCAGGCAUGUGUGAACCGCUGAUGUGGGUGUUGGGUCUUGAACUUGGGUCCUACUCUUAACCUCCGGGCCAUCUCUCCAGCCCCUACAUCUGGUUAAUGCUUUAGAGCUCGUUUCCUUCCGGUAUCUUGCAGGAGAGGAAGCUGAGGCCCAGAGUUCUGAGGGGAGACGUUGGGAAGAAACUGUAAUCUGCUCCCUCCGGAGCCACCCGCUGUCACUCUCUGCAGCAGGCUCCUUCCACAGCGCCCCGAGAGGGACCCGAACUGGCCCUCUGGACUUCCGGCUGGGUCCCUACUGUGUGCUAGCAGUAGCUUCCUUUGAAGGGAACUCGGACCCACCCCGCCUCCCGCGUGCGCGCAGCAGGUUGAUGGGAUCCGAAGCGGCCGAGGCCAAGGCGAUUAAGACAGGUGUCCUGAUCCCUGGCUGCAGAGGAGCAGGGCUGCGCUGCCACGCUAGAGGCCACCACUACCUCCUGGUCACCUCGAUGAGGCUGGGCGGCAGCUGCUGUGGUGUUCAGGAGAGGGCACAGCUGGCAGUGCCCUGGCCCCGAGAGAGAGCCGGCUGGCAGGGGGUCUUAGGCGGAAAUGGCCACUCACGGCCUCUGCACCUUGGGGAGGUUCCUCAUUGGCAGUUAAAAAUCUACUGUGACUUGUCAGAAAAAUGAAUAAAUGGUGCAUUAACUUUUCA